AUAUCAAUAAGCGGAGGAAAAGAAACCAACAGGGAUUCCCCUAGUAACGGCGAGUGAAGCGGGAAAAGCUCAACUUUGUAAUCUCGCGGUUUUGCCGCGCGAAUUGUAGUUUCAAGAAACGUUUUCAGUGGCGGGCUGGGCGUAAGUCUGCUGGAACGCAGCGUCAUGGAGGGUGAGAAUCCCGUGUGGCGUCCGGCUUCCGCUGCUGUGUGAUACGUUUUCGAAGAGUCGGAUAGUUUGAGAAUGCUGUCCAAAAUGGGUGGUAAAUACCAUCUAAAGCUAAAUAUUGGCGAGAGACCGAUUGCGCACAAGUA
rnacentral:rRNA from 1 species